UGGGGAAUUUUGGACAAUGGGCGCAAGCCUGAUCCAGCAAUGCCGCGUGCAGGAUGAAGGCCUUCGGGUUGUAAACUGCUUUUGUACGGAACGAAAAGGCUCUGGUUAAUACCUGGAGCAUAUGACGGUACCGUAAGAAUAAGCACCGGCUAACUACGUGCCAGCAGCCGCGGUAAUACGUGGGGUGCGAGCGUUAAUCGGAAUUACUGGGCGUAAAGCGUGCGCAGGCGGUUUUGUAAGACAGAGGUGAAAUCCCCGGGCUCAACCUGGGAACUGCCUUUGUGACUGCAAGGCUGGAGUGCGGCAGAGGGGGGAUGGAAUUCCGCGUGUAGCAGUGAAAUGCGUAGAUAUGCGGAGGAACACCGAUGGCGAAGGCAAUCCCCUGGGCCUGCAACCUGGACGCUCAUGCACGAAAGCGUGGGGA
rnacentral:rRNA from 1 species